UGGAGAGCGGCCCGGGCUGGAUGGUGUUUGGGCCCAACCGGAUAAGAGAGUCCAAUGCCUCCAGCAGCCGGUGUUUGGCAGGUUGGUGCACAGGGACUGAUUGGUGUGAAAUUCUGGAGCCUGGAUGACUAUCUUUCUUCUGAUAGGCUUGAUGCUGAGAUAAAAUCCUGCCCAGAUAUUUCCCCCAACUCUAGCCCUUGGCUUCUAGUUUCAUUGAGGUAAGGGUGGGGUGGAAGAAGAUUUAGGGAGAGAAAUAGUCUGUCCUUUUGUUAGGGAGUGAAGAUGGAACCCCUGCGUGUCCCAACUACUAUCUGGUAAGAAAUGUGGCUGCUGAGCCUC